GCGCCCCCUGUAAACCUGGACCAAAGCAGAGCUCUCUUGGCACUGCUGCAGAGGAAACACCAAGCAUUUCCACAAGCAAGUCAGCACUCUCUGGAUUCCCAGCCACCUGGUGGCCCAAACUCUGUCCUUGUGAGCCUUGCAGCCAAACCCUUCACACUCCACAGGAAGAGAAGGUUCAAAGAAGCAUCAGGGUCCUAAGUCCUCAUCCCAGGUAUUGAUCACAGUCCCCAGCCGAGAACCCACUGUCCCCUCCUCACUGUGGACUGACUUAUAAGCCUCUGUGAGACUAAACUGCCACUCGUCACAUCUCAGCACCUCUCCUUGCCUCUAUUCAGUGCUGCAAUCGGUUACAGUCUCUUCCGAGCCCAUCAAAUUGGUUCCAGUCUCUCUAGUUUACUGCACAGUUCUUGGCGCCAUUGCCCAACGAUCAGCAGUGUGUAAAGGAUUUUCAAUUCAUGAAAGUUUUAGAGAUUUUUGACUUUUUGUCCCAAUUUGAGACAGAAAAGUUUUUUCAAAAAUUCUCAAGGGAC